rnacentral:lncRNA from 1 species
GGCUGAAAAGCUAGAAAUUUUAUCAGGACUCUCAUGAUAAAUACUACAACUACCAACUGAGCAUGCAUCACUAUCAGAAUCAUUAGAUUCUCCAAUUCUGGCAGCAGAAUAGCCAUUGGCACCACUCCUUUUUGUAGGUUUUAAUCCGUAAUAUUCAUCAGACCAAGAAUAGCCAUUGGCACCACUCUUUUUUGUAGGUUUUAAUCCGUAAUAUUCAUCAGACCAAUUGUUAAAUGAAGCACCCACACACUUCUCAUCCAUCAUAUUUCCUUUGCACUUGCCAAUAACAUGUGUCUUGCCCCCUAAGGAAGCCGGAACUAUUCUUUGUCUCUUAAA